UAAAGUCCAAAAAAUCUUAAAUGUGGAGCUCAAUGACAUUUUAUACACACAUGUACAAAUACGUGUAUAUUAUACACAACAGUGUACCACCAACCAAAUCAAGAUAUGGAAUAUUUCCAGGACCCCUGAAGAUUCUCUCAUGCUUCUUCCCAGGCAACACCCCCACCCUACCAGAGGCAGCCCCCAGCUGCCUCCAGAGGUAAUCACUAUUCUGUUGUCUAUUUUUGAACUUCAUAUAAAAUGGAAACAUAUAGUUAUGCUCUUUUGGAUGUAGCACCAUUUAUUGAAGACACAUUACUUUAAGCCUUUGUGAAAUACACACACACAAAGAUACACACCGGAUGACUAUAUGUGUGAACCUGUUUCUGGACUUUGUUUAGUUCCACUGGUCAGCUUGCCUUGGUCAGCUUGCCUUUCCUUGCGUCGAUACCACAUAUCUUUAUAAGAGAUCUUGAUAUCUGGAGGGAUAAUGUCUUCCAGAUCUGUUCUUCUUGGCUACUUUUGGCCCUUGAGUUCUUCUUUAGACUCUAUUCUGUUCCAUUCUUCUAUUUGUCUAUCUUCACACUAAGAACACGCUGUUUUAAUUAUCGUAGCUUUAGAGUAAAUCUUAUUAUCUGGUGAGGUAAAACUUCCAUUUUCUUCUUCCUUAAGAUUAUUUUGGCUAUUCUUGGCCCCUUGCAUUUUUAUUUGUAAAUGGUAGCAUCAGCUUGUCAAUUUCCACUACAAAAAUAUGGUGAGAUUUUGAUUGAGAUUGCACUGAAUUCAUACAUGACUUUGAGAAGCACUGGCAACUUUACAAUACUAAAGUUUCCAAGACAUUACAUCGUAUAUCCUUCCAUUUAUUUAGCUCUUCUUUCAUUCCUCUGAGUGAUAUGUUGUGGUUUUCAGACUAGAGGUUUUGCUAAUCUUUUGUUAAGAAUUUUUCGGAAUAGUUUAUAUUCCAAUGUUUAAAAAUUUUCUAGUUGCUGUUGCUAUGUAGAAAUACAACUGCUUUUUCUGCCGGGCGCAGUGGCUCACACCUGUAAUCCCAGCACUUUGGGAGGCCAAGGUGGGCGGAUCACGAGGUCAGGAGAUCAAGACUAUACUGGCUAACACGGUGAAACCCCAUCUCUACUAAAAAAUUAGCCAGGCGUGGUGGCGGGCACCUGUAUUCCCAACUACUUGGGAGGCUGAGGCGGGAGAAUGGCGUGAACCCAGGAGGCAGAGGUUGCAAUGAGCUGAGAUUGCACCGCUGCACUCCAGCCUGGGCGACAGAGUGACUCCAUCAAAAAAAAAAAAAAAAAUACAACUGCUUUUUCUUAUAUUGACUUUGUUUUCAAAGACAUCUCUAAAUUCAAUUUUUUUUUCUAAUUUUUUUAUUUUUAGAGAUGGAGUCUCACUAUGUUACCCAGGCUGGUCUCCAACUACUGGCCUCAAGUGAUCCUCCCACUUUGACUUCCCAAAGUGCUCGGAUUACAGGUGUGAGCCACUGCACCUAGCCUAAAUUCACUUAUUAAUCUAAUAGUUGACCUGUAGAUUACUUUGGAUUUUCUAUGUGUACAAUAUAUUGGCUAUAAUAUCAACUUUGUUUCAUCCUUUCCAAUCAUUAUACCACUUCUUAAUUUUCCUCACUUGUUGCUAUAACUAUACAGUAUAGAACAGAAGUGAUGAUAGUGGCCAUCCUUAUCCUGUGUCCAAGCUCAAGUGCGGGUGCAAUCACUCAGAAAACUGUUCAGCAGUGUAUGAUGAACAUAUAGAUACACUGCAAUCCAGCAAUCCCACUCCUAGACAUAUGCCCACAAGAAAUGAGUGUAUGUCUACCAAAAGACAAGGACAAACAUGUCCUUAAUGGUUCUCUUCAUGAGAAGGCCAAACUGGAAACAACCAAAUUCAGAACAAAUAAAUGGUAGUAGACUCAAACAAUCAUAUGCUAUUUAGCAGCAAGAAUGAACAAACUAUUCCUACAACGUGGAUGACUCUCACUAACUUGAGCAAAAGCAGUCAGACAUUAAAAAGCACAUAUUAUAUAAUUAAACAAAGUUCAAAAAAGGCAAAACUAAUCUACGGUGUUAGAGGGCUUGGGGCUGGUUACUCAAGGGGGAGGAUUUAGGAUGGCGCUCCAGGGGCUUUCUGGAGGAGAGAUAAAUUUCCUGUUCUUGGCCUGAGUAUUGAUAGACAGCUAUGUUCACUCUGUAAAAACUCCCUGAGCUAUGCACUUGUGAUUUGUGUGCAUUUUUGUGUAUAUUUCAAUUAAAAGUUUAUUAAAAACUACAUAUAUUUAACUGAAGUUCAUUCUCACUGUAAUCUGUACAAUCUGAAUUUGUAUAACAAAUGUCUGCCCAGCUCUAUAAAUGUACAGCUCUUGUAGACACCAGGCUUUUAGGCUGUAUUUUGAUAUGCUUGUGCCUCUGAAGUUCUAGCUAUAAGGGUAGUCUGUUUGUGCUGCUAUAAUGAAAUAGCUGCAACUGUGUCAUUUGCAAAUAACAGAAAUUUAUUUCUCACAGUUCUGAAGGCUGAGAAGUCCAAGGUCAAGGCACCAGCAGGUUUGGUGUCUGCUGAAGGCCCAUUCCUCAUGGUGCCACCUAGGGGCCUUCACAUGGCAGGACAGAAGGGCAAAAACGGCCCAAGCUAAUUCCCUCCAGUCCUUUUAUGAGGCACUAAUCAAAUUCAUGAGAGCAGAACCCUCAUAACUUAAUCACUUCCCCAAAUGCCAACCUCUUAAUACUGCCACCAUGAGGAUAAAGUUUCAACGUGAAUUUUGGAGGGGACACCAUUAUUCAAACCACAGGAGGGGCUAUGGGUAGUAAGUAGAGUUUUCUCUGAAAGGGGUAUAAAUUAUACAUUGAGGGGAGAGAGCCUCUUAAACAGUAUACUAAAGUGCAGAAGGCAGGCCUUGUUCCAGUGAAAGAAGGGACUCCAAACUCUCGCUAUGCUUCAUUUCCUUUGGUCUAGAGCAGUGGUUCCCAAACAGGGAUUGAAGGGGCCAAGGAGUAAG
rnacentral:lncRNA from 1 species